rnacentral:rRNA from 1 species
UACGUAGGGGGCAAGCGUUGUCCGGAUUUAUUGGGCGUAAAGAGCGUGUAGGCGGCCAUACAGGUCAGCUGUGAAAACUCGAGGCUCAACCUCGAGACGUCGGUUGAAACCGUACGGCUAGAGUCCGGAAGAGGAGAGUGGAAUUCCCGAUGUAGCGGUGAAAUGCGCAGAUAUCGGGAGGAACACCGGUGGCGAAGGCGGCCGACUGGACAGCGCCUGACACUGAGACGCGAAAGCGUGGGUAGCAAACAGG